GACGUAGGGGGGCGAGCGUUGUCCGGAUUUUAUUGGGCGUAAAGCGUGCGUAGGCGGUCUGUCGCGUCGGCUGUGAAAAUCCCGAGGCUCAACCCUCGGGGUCUGCAGUCGAUACGGGGCAAAACUGGGAAGUGUUUGCAGGGGGGAGACUGGAAAUUUCCUGGUGUAGCGGGUGAAAAAUGCGCAGAUAUCAGGGAGGGAAACACCCGGUGGGGCGAAAGGCGGGGUCUCUUGGGGGCAAAACAACUGACG
rnacentral:rRNA from 1 species